rnacentral:other from 1 species
AACGCCCUGGGGUGCUUGCCAGUUGACAAGUCCUCGAGCCGAUAAUCUGUAACCUGGGGGUUACAAGACGAUACGGUGUGCAUGUCCGCGUGACGGAAAGCCUAAAGUGUCGCUGUAGCCACCACCUUGAACUUCACGGUUCAAGGCCAAGUUGACAGCGGCACUUCCGGGGACUCA